AACGAACGCUGGCGGCAGGCUUAACACAUGCAAGUCGAACGGGUGUAGCAAUACAUCAGUGGCAGACGGGUGAGUAACACGUGGGAACCUUCCUAGGGGUACGGAACAACUCAGGGAAACUUGAGCUAAUACCGUAUACGUCCGUAAGGAGAAAGAUUCAUCGCCCCUAGACGGGCCCGCGUCGGAUUAGGUAGUUGGUGGGGUAACGGCCUACCAAGCCUACGAUCCGUAGCUGAUCUGAGAGGAUGAUCAGCCACACUGGGACUGAGACACGGCCCAGACUCCUACGGGAGGCAGCAGUGGGGAAGUCUUGGACAAUGGGCGGCAAGCCUGAUCCAGCCAUGCCGCGUGAGUGAAGAAGGCCUUAGGGUUGUAAAGCUCUUUUACCAGGGACGAUAAUGACGGUACCUGGAGAAUAA
rnacentral:rRNA from 1 species